GGUGAAAGAAGCUACAAUCAGCCAUUACUGUUUCAGAUUGCUUUCCAGAGCCGCAUAUGUCCUAACUGCAUAUAUGAAAGGAGCUAGUGACAAACAAGAUACAUACUGGCAUCAACAGCAGACUGCAUUACCUGAACAAGAUGCAGCAGUAGAGCCACUAAAAGUAAAAAAAGUGGUGUGAUCAAUAAUAUGGAUGCUGCCAAUAAGGCUUCUGGGUGAAAAACCAGUUCGAAGAUGUGCUGGAUGACUGCUUCCAACAUUCCCAUCCAAUCAUGGACACACAAAACUCACAUGGAGAUAUAAUCCAAUGCAACUGCAAGGCAUCAGCUUCAGAAAGGUUGCUCUACAGAAUACAAAGUACCUUUUAAUUUAUCCAGAAACCUGCAGAAUUGAACCUUGCAAAAUUGUUUGGGAAACAUGUCUAGACAGAGUAUCUCUUUCACACAUGUAGUUGUAAAAUGGAAGUGUACAAGCUUGUUUCUCCAUAUAUCCUUGACUGGAUAAUCAAAUAAAUUUAGCCGGUAACAUUUAACAUGCUGGAAAAGUACCAUACUAGAUGUUUUAUAGAAGCUCAUCAGAGAUUCCUCAAUUUUUUUCACCUGUAUUUCAGCAAUGUAAAUAUGUCAUAAUGGCAUUUUCUCAGUAUUUUCAUUCUGUGUUCCUAUAUAAAUCACAGUGCAGAAGAAUCUACAGUUGUUCUAACUUUUGUUUUUAAUCAAUGGAAGAAAUGAAAAUUCCUUGAUUUAUUUUACAUCAAGAAUCUGAAACUGAGCAUUUUCAGGGAAAAUAAAUCACAG